rnacentral:rRNA from 1 species
UACGUAGGGGGCAAGCGUUGUCCGGAAUUAUUGGGCGUAAAGAGCGCGUAGGCGGUCCGAUAAGUCUGUUGUGAAAGUCCAGGGCUCAACCCUGGAAUGCCGAUGGAUACUGCCGGGCUAGAGUUCGGAAGAGGCGAGUGGAAUUCCUGGUGUAGCGGUGGAAUGCGCAGAUAUCAGGAGGAACACCGGUGGCGAAGGCGGGUCUCUGGGCAGUAACUGACGCUGAGGAGCGAAAGCGUGGGGAGCAAACAGG